AAAAAAAUCCCUUGUUAGAUAUGUUAAAUAUCAAUAAAUUCAUUCAAAUUUAAAUUGGAAGGACCACCAUAAACAAUGGUAUAAAUUAUGCUGUGCUAAAUAAGAACAAACACUGACUUGGGUUCUCAUUCCGUGUUGUCUAGAUGUGUAGAGUUUUCAAACUGAAUUUGAUUAUAUCAAAAUGUUUUUCAAUAUUUGAAGUUCAUAUUAUUAUUGAUAAUAGCAAGCACAGUUGCACUACUUGUCACUGCAAGCUUUUAAAACAAUGCCUGGGCGAGAAAAUUCGAAUUUUGAUC